ACGGGGGGGGCAAGCGUUGUUCGGAAUUACUGGGCGUAAAGGGCUCGUAGGCGGCCACCGCAAGUCGGUUGUGAAAUCUCCGGGCUUAACCCGGAAAGGUCAACUGAUACUGCGGGGCUAGAGUGCAGAAGGGGCAACUGGAAUCCUCGGUGUAGCGGUGAAAUGCGUAGAUAUCGAGAGGAACACCUGCGGCGAAGGCGGGUUGCUGGGCUGACACUGACGCUGAGGCGCGAAAGCUAGGGGAGCGAACGGGA
rnacentral:rRNA from 1 species